rnacentral:rRNA from 1 species
GUGGGGAAUCUUGCGCAAUGGGCGAAAGCCUGACGCAGCCAUGCCGCGUGAAUGAUGAAGGUCUUAGGAUUGUAAAAUUCUUUCACCGGGGACGAUAAUGACGGUACCCGGAGAAGAAGCUCCGGCUAACUUCGUGCCAGCAGCCGCGGUAAUACGAAGGGGGCUAGCGUUGCUCGGAAUUACUGGGCGUAAAGGGCGCGUAGGCGGACAGCUUAGUCAGAGGUGAAAGCCCAGGGCUCAACCUUGGAAUUGCCUUUGAUACUGGCUGUCUUGAGUUUGGGAGAGGUGAGUGGAACUCCGAGUUUAGAGGUGAAAUUCGUAGAUAUUCGGAAGAACACCAGUGGCGAAGGCGACUCACUGGCCCAAUACUGACGCUGAGGCGCGAAAGCGUGGGGAGCAAACAGGAUUAGAUACCCCUGUAGUCC